GCCAGACUCCUACGGGAGGCAGCAGUGAGGAAUAUUGGUCAAUGGUCGGGAGACUGAACCAGCCAAGCCGCGUGAGGGAUGAAGGUACAGAGUAUCGUAAACCUCUUUUGUCAGGGAACAAAGGCGGGGACGUGUCCCCGGAUGAGUGUACCUGAAGAAAAAGCAUCGGCUAACUCCGUGCCAGCAGCCGCGGUAAUACGGAGGAUGCGAGCGUUAUCCGGAUUUAUUGGGUUUAAAGGGUGCGUAGGCGGAAUAUCAAGUCAGCGGUAAAAAUUCGGGGCUCAACCCCGUCGUGCCGUUGAAACUGGCGGCCUCGAGUGGGCGAGAAGUAUGCGGAAUGCGUGGUGUAGCGGUGAAAUGCAUAGAUAUCACGCAGAACUCCGAUUGCGAAGGCAGCAUACCGGCGCCCGACUGACGCUGAGGCACGAAAGCGUGGGUAUCGAACAGGAUUAGAUACCCUAGUAUC
rnacentral:rRNA from 1 species